CAGUCGCCGCGGUAAUACGAAGGGUGCAAGCGUUACUCGGAAUUACUGGGCGUAAAGCGUGCGUAGGUGGUUGUUUAAGUCUGCUGUGAAAGCCCUGGGCUCAACCUGGGAAUUGCAGUGGAUACUGGGCGACUAGAGUAAGGUAGAGGAUAGUGGAAUUUCCGGUGUAGCAGUGAAAUGCGUAGAGAUCGGAGGGAACAUCUGUGGCGAAGGCGACUAUCUGGGCCAUUACUGACACUGAGGCACGAAAGCGUGGGGAGCAAACAGGAUUAGAUACCCGGGUAGUCCCUGUCUCUUAUAC
rnacentral:rRNA from 1 species